GACUAGUAUGAAUGGCACCACGAAGGUUAUACUGUCUCCUUUUUCUAAUCAGUGAAACUAAUCUCCCCGUGAAGAAGCGGGGAUAAAACUAUAAGACGAGAAGACCCUAUGGAGCUUUAAACAACAUAGCACUUGCCACACACCAUUAAAAUUCCAGAAUCUUUAAUUCUCUGAGCAAUAUGACUAUAAGUUUUUGGUUGGGGUGACCGCGGAGCAUAACACAACCUCCAUGUUGAAAGAAUCAUCUUCUAAGCUAAGAACUUCAACUCUAAGCAUCAACAUAUUGACAUCCAUUGACCCAAUACACUUGAACAACGAACCAAGUUACCCUAGGGAUAACAGCGCAAUCCACUUCAAGAGCUCCUAUCGACAAGUGGGUUUACGACCUCGAUGUUGGAUCAGGGUUUCCCAGUGGUGCAGCCGCUACUAAAGGUUCGUUUGUUCAACGAUUAAAA
rnacentral:rRNA from 1 species